CACAUGACUCUCGGCAACGGAUAUCUCGGCUCUCGCAUCGAUGAAGAACGUAGCGAAAUGCGAUACCUGGUGUGAAUUGCAGAAUCCCGCGAACCAUCGAGUCUUUGAACGCAAGUUGCGCCCGAGGCCAUUCGGUCGAGGGCACGCCUGCCUGGGCGUCACG
rnacentral:rRNA from 3 species